GGCUGUAGCUCAGUGGUAGAGUGCUUGCCUCACAUGUGUUAGACACUGGGUUCAAGCCUCAGCACCA
rnacentral:tRNA from 1 species